CGCACAUUGCGCCCUUUGGUAUUCCGAGGGGCAUGCCUGUUCGAGCGUCAUUUAAACCAUCAAGCUCUGCUUGGCUUUAGACCUGGGUUUUACUGUGCCCGGUCCGAAACUCGUAGUGGCGUUCCCGUCGAGCCUCAAGCGUAGCAAGAAUUACUCCCUCGCUUCAAAGGCCUCGGGCGGGACCAGCCCCGAAAGAUACCCCCAAAGUUUGACCUCGGAUCAGGUAGGGAUACCCGCUGAACUUAA
rnacentral:misc_RNA from 1 species